AUGAGCGCUGACAGAAUGCUUAACACCUGCAAGUCAACUUGAAUUUGGGUUUUUAACUUAGGUUUGGGUGGCGGACGGGUGAGUAACGCGUAAAGAACUUGCCUCACAGCUAGGGACAACAUUUGGAAACGAAUGCUAAUACCUAAUAUUAUGAUAAUAGGGCAUCCUAUAAUUAUGAAAGCUAUAAGCGCUGUGAGAGAGCUUUGCGUCCCAUUAGCUAGUUGGAGAGGUAACGGCUCACCAAGGCGAUGAUGGGUAGCCGGCCUGAGAGGGUGAUCGGCCACAAGGGGACUGAGACACGGCCCUUACUCCUACGGGAGGCAGCAGUGGGGAAUAUUGGACAAUGGACCAAGAGUCUGAUCCAGCAAUUCUGUGUGCACGAUGAAGUUUUUCGGAAUGUAAAGUGCUUUCAGUUGGGAAGAAAGAAAUGACGGUACCAACAGAAGAAGUGACGGCUAAAUACGUG
rnacentral:rRNA from 1 species